rnacentral:misc_RNA from 1 species
CGCCGCUUGUCGCCAAUUGAGGGACAGGAGCCAGGCGAAGCUCGACCAGGCCGAACUGCAUCAACCGCGCGAUGGUCGAGCCCGCGACCUGGCUUGGAAUCCCGAGCGACGUUGCCACCUCUUCGAUCGUUUCUGGGGUGCGAUCGAGCGCGAGCAGGAUCAUUUCUUCGAUUGGACUCCAUCCCCAUGUGCGUUGAACGAUGGCGCGCG